rnacentral:rRNA from 1 species
UACAGAGGUUUCAAGCGUUGUUCGGAUUUACUGGGCGUAAAGCGCGUGUAGGCGGGUGAUUAAGUCGGGUGCGAAAGCCCGGGGCUCAACCCCGGGAUGCCGCCCGAGACUGGUCUCCUUGAGGACGGAAGAGGGGAGUGGAAUUCCUGGUGUAGCGGUGAAAUGCGUAGAGAUCAGGAGGAACACCCGUGGCGAAGGCGGCUCCCUGGUCCGUUUCUGACGCUGAGACGCGAAAGCGCGGGGAGCGAACGGG